AAGAACGCUAGAGUCACACACGUAGUUCGCGGAUUAAAUAAAUAUAUACGUGUUAUCGCUAUUGCGAGACUAUCUUAAGUAACUUACAUUAUUACGUAUAACAUUGCUAAAAUAAACCAACAACAAGUGUUCAAUUAAAAAUUAAGGUUCUUUAAUAAAAGUGCAAAGUGACGUAAUUAAAUACAUCAAUUCCGAGCCUAUUCCUGCCGCCCCGGAUUUCUAUCCAAAUUUGGCGCGACUCCUUGUGCCUGACCCGAGGCAUGACAGUAAUACAGUUGUUUAGCGCAAUAAGAAUGACAUCAUCACUGUCGUGGAUAACAGAACACUGCGAGCAUUCACAAUUAGGAUACAUAGUGCGAUCAACAAGCGUCUUUUAAUGUCACGACUAUUACUGCCCCAAAUUUUACAUUUUAAAUAAUAAACAUUUGUUAAAGAAGGAGGGCCAAUAAGGCCAAUUUUUGGGUCCAAGUGUCGCAUGUUUUUGAUCACAUAUUUGUAUAGUUGAAGUCGAGAGCUUUCCGAAACACUCUAUGAAAAGCUUUUUACGUUGGGGAAAGUGAAAGUUAUAAGUCAUCAAAGUUAAAGAAACACACAUAUGCAUGAAAUAGACUGUCUUAAUUUUGUGUGUGUGUGUCUGUGUGUGACAGACUGAAAAUAUAUACAUGUAUUUGUUAUUUUAUCCUUCUCUUUUUAAAUACGGGCUUGGAACCGCCAAUGGCAGAAUUACUUUUUUUUGUUUUUUAAAAUAAUUUAUUUUUUUCUUUUUUGUAUAG